rnacentral:rRNA from 1 species
CCUACGGGUGGCAGCAGUGAGGAAUAUUGGUCAAUGGACGCAAGUCUGAACCAGCCAUGCCGCGUGCAGGAAGACGGCUCUAUGAGUUGUAAACUGCUUUUAUACGGGGGUAAACGCAGAUACGCGUAUCUUUCUGUAAGUAUCGUACGAAUAAGGAUCGGCUAACUCCGUGCCAGCAGCCGCGGUAAUACGGAGGAUUCAAGCGUUAUCCGGAUUUAUUGGGUUUAAAGGGUGCGUAGGUGGAAUAUAAAGUCAGCGGGAAAAUUUCGGGGCUCAACCUAGUCGUGCCGUUGAAACUGGCGGUCUUGAGUAGGCGAGAAGUAUGCGGAAUGCGUGGUGUAGCGGUGAAAUGCAUAGAUAUCACGCAGAACUCCGAUUGCGAAGGCAGCAUAC